AGAGUUUGAUCAUGGCUCAGAUUGAACGCUGGCGGCAGGCCUAACACAUGCAAGUCGAACGGUAACAGGAAGCAGCUUGCUGCUUUGCUGACGAGUGGCGGACGGGUGAGUAAUGUCUGGGAAACUGCCUGAUGGAGGGGGAUAACUACUGGAAACGGUAGCUAAUACCGCAUAACGUCGCAAGACCAAAGAGGGGGACCUUAGGGCCUCUUGCCAUCGGAUGUGCCCAGAUGGGAUUAGCUAGUAGGUGGGGUAACGGCUCACCUAGGCGACGAUCCCUAGCUGGUCUGAGAGGAUGACCAGCCACACUGGAACUGAGACACGGUCCAGACUCCUACGGGAGGCAGCAGUGGGGAAUAUUGCACAAUGGGCGCAAGCCUGAUGCAGCCAUGCCGCGUGUAUGAAGAAGGCCUUCGGGUUGUAAAGUACUUUCAGCGGGGAGGAAGGGAGUAAAGUUAAUACCUUUGCUCAUUGACGUUACCCGCAGAAGAAGCACCGGCUAACUCCGUGCCAGCAGCCGCGGUAAUACGGAGGGUGCAAGCGUUAAUCGGAAUUACUGGGCGUAAAGCGCACGCAGGCGGUUUGUUAAGUCAGAUGUGAAAUCCCCGGGCUCAACCUGGGAACUGCAUCUGAUACUGGCAAGCUUGAGUCUCGUAGAGGGGGGUAGAAUUCCAGGUGUAGCGGUGAAAUGCGUAGAGAUCUGGAGGAAUACCGGUGGCGAAGGCGGCCCCCUGGACGAAGACUGACGCUCAGGUGCGAAAGCGUGGGGAGCAAACAGGAUUAGAUACCCUGGUAGUCCACGCCGUAAACGAUGUCGACUUGGAGGUUGUGCCCUUGAGGCGUGGCUUCCGGAGCUAACGCGUUAAGUCGACCGCCUGGGGAGUACGGCCGCAAGGUUAAAACUCAAAUGAAUUGACGGGGGCCCGCACAAGCGGUGGAGCAUGUGGUUUAAUUCGAUGCAACGCGAAGAACCUUACCUGGUCUUGACAUCCACGGAAGUUUUCAGAGAUGAGAAUGUGCCUUCGGGAACCGUGAGACAGGUGCUGCAUGGCUGUCGUCAGCUCGUGUUGUGAAAUGUUGGGUUAAGUCCCGCAACGAGCGCAACCCUUAUCCUUUGUUGCCAGCGGUCCGGCCGGGAACUCAAAGGAGACUGCCAGUGAUAAACUGGAGGAAGGUGGGGAUGACGUCAAGUCAUCAUGGCCCUUACGACCAGGGCUACACACGUGCUACAAUGGCGCAUACAAAGAGAAGCGACCUCGCGAGAGCAAGCGACUACCUCAUAAAGUGCGUCGUAGUCCGGAUUGGAGUCUGCAACUCGACUCCAUGAAGUCGGAAUCGCUAGUAAUCGUGGAUCAGAAUGCCACGGUGAAUACGUUCCCGGGCCUUGUACACACCGCCCGUCACACCAUGGGAGUGGGUUGCAAAAGAAGUAGGUAGCUUAACCUUCGGGAGGGCGCUUACCACUUUGUGAUUCAUGACUGGGGUGAAGUCGUAACAAGGUAACCGUAGGGGAACCUGCGGUUG
rnacentral:rRNA from 1 species